CACGCCGUAAACGAUGAUCACUCGCUGUUGGCGAUACACAGUCAGCGGCUAAGCAAAAGCAUUAAGUGAUCCACCUGGGGAGUACGGCCGCAAGGCUGAAACUCAAAGGAAUUGACGGGGGCCCGCACAAGCGGAGGAACAUGUGGUUUAAUUCGAUGAUACGCGAGGAACCUUACCUGGGCUUAAAUGUAUAGUGCAUUCCUUCGAAAAGAGGAUUUCCUUCGGGACUCUAUGCAAGGUGC
rnacentral:rRNA from 2 species